UUCAUACAACCUCCGUUCCAAAUUACUUGUCUUAGAUUUUGUCUAGAUACAGAUGUCUCAACACUAAAACAUGUCUAGAUGCAUCCGUAUCUAGACAAAUCUAAGACAAGUAAUUUGGGAUGGAGGGAGUACUUG
rfam:Triticum aestivum genome assembly, contig: Triticum_aestivum_CS42_TGACv1_scaffold_644640_T_4DL-0.044904_2AS-0.039810